rnacentral:rRNA from 1 species
UACGUAGGGGGCAAGCGUUGUCCGGAUUUAUUGGGCGUAAAGAGCUCGUAGGUGGUUCGGUAAGUCGGAUGUGAAAUCUCCAGGCUCAACCUGGAGGGGUCAUUCGAUACUGCCGUGACUAGAGGUCGGUAGGGGAGUGUGGAAUUCCUGGUGCAGCGGUGAAAUGCGCAGAUAUCAGGAGGAACACCGGUGGCGAAGGCGGAUCUCUGGGCCUUACCUGACGCUGAGGAGCGAAAGCAUGGGGAGCAAACAGG